rnacentral:lncRNA from 10 species
CUGGCUUGUGUCUUCUGGGUACGUGAUCCCCCUGACUUCAGUGUGAGAAUGUGGCCAGAGCGUCUGGGGAAGACAGGGAGAGUUGUCAGAGAGGAGUUUUGAGGAGGCCCUGAAGGCUCGCCGGCUGUUAAGGCCUGAGCUGUAGUGGGCAAGAAGAGAUGGCCAGUUCAGGUAGAGGAAGCCUGCUUUGAGCUGAAGACCGGAGGUGAAUCUGGACAGGGCUUCCCAGGACCAGUAUUUUUCCCUCUCCACCCUGGUCUUCUCCUGUAACGUGUGGCCGCCUUUUCCAGCACGGCCUCCUGCCUUCCUGGUGCACUUUUUGGAGAACGUGGUGGAAUCAGAGGUUUCUGGCUGACUCGGUGGGUGCUUUGAACCAGGAAAGGACAAGAAAGAGGAUGGGAAGGACUGAUCCACAUUCCCACCAGGAAGUUUAGCAGAACCCCCGCGUGCCACCUGGACCCCUUGGAAGGACCUGGCUCAGGCUGGACCACCUCUUGAGAGGCAGGAGCUCUGGAUUUGAUCAAGAAUUCUUUGCUGAGCAUGGUGCCUCAUGCCUAUAAUCCCAACACUUUGGGAGGCCAGUGUGGGAGGAUCUCUUGAGCCCAGGAGUUCAAGACUAGCCUGGGCAACACAGAGAGACCCCAUCUCUAAAAUAAUAAUAAUAAUAAAAUAAAAAAUUAGCAGGGCAUGGUGGCAUGUGCCUGUAGUCCCAGCUACCCAGGAGGCUGAGGCAAGAGGAUGGCUGGAGCCUGGGAUGUUGAGGCUGCAAUGAACUGUGAUUACCCCACUGCACUCCAGCCUGGGCAAAAGAGCGAGAGACCCUGUCUCAAAUAAUAAUAAUAAUAAUAAUCUUAUUUUGGAGAAUAAAGAGACCUCUGGAUUUGAGGUGCCAUUUGGGUAGAAAGAAAAGACGUUUACACCGAGAAAUAGUCUGUGUUGCCCUGAAGGAGCAGAGGGAUGCAUCGCUGGAGGUGACCUACAGUUGAAGAAGACUCAUUAUGACAGACCUUGUCCUUCUUCCUUGUGGAAAGUGUUUCCUCUGCUGCUACUGCUCAUGAGACUCUUCCCCCUCCCUGUCCCAGGGAACCAAAGGGCUUUCUACCACACCCUUUCUUGCCCCCCGCCUCCCAUGUCUGCUGUGCCUUUGUACUCAGCAAUUCUUGUUUGCUCCAUUAUCUUCCAGCCGGAUACAGAGUGAAUAGUUAACCACACUUAGGUCAAAUAGGAUCUAAAUUUUUGUUCCUGCUCCGUGUAAAGAGGCCAGUGUUUGUGUGUUGCAAGCAGCCUUGGAAUAGUAACUCUUCUCAUUUGUUUGGGAUCUGGCCACCAAGUUCCAGAAUGAUACACGGAUCAGUGCAGAAGUUCAUCAGGCUCUCGGACCUUAGGGCUGUUGGAGAAGGCUUCAGCAGCAGAACUGAUGGUGAAGGCUCGUGUUCUCCAUCCUCAACUUUCUUUGCUUCGAUCAUACACAAGAAUACAUUUGGAAGGGCAAAAAAUGAACACUGUCGUUCAUUGCAGCCGUGUUUUGUGACACAGAUGCACAGUCUGCUGUGAAGACCUUCUCUCAAGUGGCAUUUGGGAGUCCAUGCCAGAUCAUGGUGCUUCAUGAGAGACUGACAGCUAUCAGGGGUUGUGGCACUUAGUGAGGACUCUCCUCCCCCAGUGUGUGCUGAUGACACAUACACACCUGACAAUAGCUUGAGUCUUCUCUGUUCCUUUUACUCUGUAGCCAACAUACACAUGAUUUAAAACCCUUUCUAAAUAUCUAUCAUGGUUCAUCCUUGUCCAAAUGCAGAGUCAGAGCUAUUUGUACUUCAUUAUUAUUUCCAAGGCGAAUAGUUGGCUUUCUUUUUGCAAAAAUAAUUAAAGUUUUUGUAUGUUGCAGUUGCUGUGCUUGUAUGACCAUUUAGUGAAUUUGGUGUCUUCUAAAUAGAACAGUGGAGUCCUUGUGGACAUCUCAGAUUCAUCACAAAAUGAUUGAGGAGAACCUCUUGAAGAUGUUUAGAGCUAUUGAAAUUUACAGAUUGUUGAUGGGUUUUCACCUUUUCCUUCCUUUCUUGACACACAGUUACAGGCAUUGUAUUCCUUGGAUUCCUACAGGUGUCAAGGAACAGAGAUCCACUUACGUUACCUUCAUAAAUCCUGGUUUAUUCAAAAGUCACAGUAAGGUAGACAGGAAAUAGUCCCAGCCACUGCCUAGCUAAGCCUUUUCAAAAAGCCCAAGGUCAUUCAGCAGAUGCAGAAGCACUAGUUGGUUUUCAAAGAUAACAAGAGCAAUACCAUCAUGGUCGUUUUGAUCCUCUGUUCAGCAGCAGGGUUCGCUGCCCCUGACUUUAGAAUUCUGCCAUCGUGAUGAGCUGAAGGUCACCAACGGUCCCAGUUUGCCCAGGACUAAAGGGUUUCUUGGGAUGAAGGACAUUCAGUGCUAAACCUGGGACAGUCCUGGGCAAACUGGGAAAACUGGUCACCCUCCUGGGUGACUCAACGACCAUGCCUCUACUUUGUUACUUACUAUUAACUGACUGAUGCUGUUGACUGGUUUAGCCAAUCUGCAUUCAGAGCUUUUGCGUCUGGUUACUUCGUUGGCCUUCAGGCAGCCACAGAUGGAUGCUAUUGGAUCAGGCACCAAUGCUGACCAAAUCAAUUGUUUCCAGGAUGGUAGGGUUGUAUGAAGAACCAACUGAGACCAUGUCCUUCUGAGUGUUGUGGAUGGUGGGCAUGGCAGGCCUUCAAGGUAUCAGGGAUUCCUCUCCAAUACAGCCUUACUUACAAAGGAGAAACUAACUUUCUCAUGAAAAACAAAACAGUUCAUUAAGAAACAAAACUAACACAGCCACUGGGAACUGAGGAAGAGAGACUGUAACAUGUGUGCAAGCACACACACACACACACACAUGCAUACACAUGCUGUCUGUAGAAUCAUGAGCCAGGAUUCCAAAUCUGCAUCUUUGCUAGACAGAGAUCAAGAACUAAAACCUUUGGGAUGGUGUUGUCUGGGAAGCAAAGGAGUUGGCUAGAGGACUUCCUGAAAUUCCUUUAAACUCUAGAAUCCUUUAAAAUAUCAAGGGUGUGUAAACUGGGGCUAAGUAUGUACAUUCUCUCUAAAGGCUCCUAGAUAACCUUUGAGUUCAAUUCAGUGUGGAGUGGGGCCUCCCAGCUUAUACUUACCUUUCUAGACACUGACUUUUAUCUGGGAUGAGGGAGCAGAAUUUGGAGGUGGUAGUCAGGGCGGGGGUAGGGAGGGGAGUGGGUAAGGGAUAGUUGCACCAGCCCAACUUUUUUGGUCUUAAGAACAACCUGAACGCAAAUUACAGGGUCUUUUGUGGACUAGAAAAAGCCAGGUUUUCAGGAUCACGUGGCGUCCUGAAGUUGUUGCUGCUUGUCAGGGCAUCUGACCUCCAUCUUCUCUGCUGAAAGACAGGCAUGAGUGUUUGCAGUGCCGGAACAGGGGCCUUCAGAUAAUUUCAUUCAUCUGGCAUGGCAAGACCACAGGGAGGGAAUUACAUGCUAGGGUAGAGAUGAACUUAUGGACGUAUCAUGCACCUUGGUGUUUGCCCCUGUAGUGAUUCUCACUACCUUCGCUACCAUUGGAGGGAUGCUCACCCACCUCCUUGGGUGCCAUUUUUCUUUUUUAAAAGAUGAAGGCAUUUCAGAUGAUCCCUUCAUUUAUGUUCUACUUUCAUUCUUUGGUUUCAAAAGAAGUCCUGAUCUUAUGUCAAAGGCAACAAUCUCUUCUCUCAAUCUCUCUCUCUCUCUCACUCUCUCUCUCUGGCUCACUCUGUCACCCAGGUUGGAGUACAGUGGCAUGAUCUCAGCUCACUGCAGCCUCGACUUCCUGGGCUCAAGAAAUCCUCCUGUCUCUGCCUUCCGAGUAGCUGUGAUCACAGUUGUAUGCCAUCAUGCCCAG